UGAGUAAUGUCUGGGAAACUGCCUGAUGGAGGGGGAUAACUACUGGAAACGGUAGCUAAUACCGCGUAACGUCGCAAGACCAAAGAGGGGGACCUUCGGGCCUCUUGCCAUCGGAUGUGCCCAGAUGGGAUUAGCUAGUAGGUGGGGUAACGGCUCACCUAGGCGACGAUCCCUAGCUGGUCUGAGAGGAUGACCAGCCACACUGGAACUGAGACACGGUCCAGACUCCUACGGGAGGCAGCAGUGGGGAAUAUUGCACAAUGGGCGCAAGCCUGAUGCAGCCAUGCCGCGUGUAUGAAGGAGGCCUUCGGGUUGUAAAUCUUUUCAGCGGGGAGGAAGGGAGUAAAGUUAAUACCUUUGCUCAUUGACGUUACCCGCAGAAGAAGCACCGGCUAACUCCGUGCCAGCAGCCGCGGUAAUACGGAGGGUGCAAGCGUUAAUCGGAAUUACUGGGCGUAAAGCGCACGCAGGCGGUUUGUUAAGUCAGAUGUGAAAUCCCCGGG
rnacentral:rRNA from 1 species